rnacentral:rRNA from 1 species
UCUACCUUGUUACGACUUGGCGAAACCUUCCCUCACUGGCUGCAUCAGCCUGCCUGUUUCAUGGUAGAACGUGGCGAGGACAUAAGGUAGCGAGAUUAGCGUCCACUCCCGGUUGAAGUUGGCUACGUAGUAAUCAAAUGUAGCCUCAAACCCGUUCACCUGCCCCUGAGCCAGGAUCAAACUCUA